AGUUAAGCAGCCUCAAGCUCGGGUAGUACUCGGGUGGGUGACCACCGGGGAAGUCCGAGUGCUGUCUACU
rnacentral:rRNA from 1 species